rnacentral:rRNA from 1 species
CAGUAGCCGCGGUAAUACGAACCGUGCGAACGUUAUUCGGAAUUACUGGGCUUAAAGCGCGUGUAGGCGGGUCGGCACGUCGGUCGCUGAAAUCCCCCGGCUCAACCGGGGAAGUGGCGCCGAUACGGCCGGCCUGGAGGGGGGUAGGGGGGCCUGGAACUUCCGGUGGAGCGGUGAAAUGCGUUGAGAUCGGAAGGAACGCCCGUGGCGAAAGCGAGGCCCUGGACCCUUUCUGACGCUGAGACGCGAAAGCCAGGGGGGCGAACGGGAUUAGAUACCCCUGUAGUCCCUGUCUCUUAUA